UACGUAGGGGGCUAGCGUUGUCCGGAAUCAUUGGGCGUAAAGCGCGUGUAGGCGGCCCGGUAAGUCCGCUGUGAAAGUCGGGGGCUCAACCCUCGAAAGCCGGUGGAUACUGUCGGGCUCGAGUACGGGAGAGGCGAGUGGAAUUCCUGGUGUAGCGGUGAAAUGCGCAGAUAUCAGGAGGAACACCGAUUGCGAAGGCAGCUCGCUGGAACGUUACUGACGCUGUGACGCGAAAGCGUGGGGAGCAAACAGG
rnacentral:rRNA from 1 species